rnacentral:rRNA from 1 species
GACGAACGCUGGCGGCGUGCUUAACACAUGCCAGUCGAACGGAAAGGCCCUGCUUUUGUGGGGUGCUCGAGUGGCGAACGGGUGAGUAACACGUGAGUAACCUGCCCUUGACUUUGGGAUAACUUCAGGAAACUGGGGCUAAUACCGGAUAGGAGCUCCUGCUGCAUGGUGGGGGUUGGAAAGUUUCGGCGGUUGGGGAUGGACUCGCGGCUUAUCAGCUUGUUGGUGGGGUAGUGGCUUACCAAGGCUUUGACGGGUAGCCGGCCUGAGAGGGUGACCGGCCACAUUGGGACUGAGAUACGGCCCAGACUCCUACGGGAGGCAGCAGUGGGGAAUAUUGCACAAUGGGCGGAAGCCUGAUGCAGCAACGCCGCGUGCGGGAUGACGGCCUUCGGGUUAUAAACCGCUUUCGCCUGUGACGAAGCGUGAGUGACGGUAAUGGGUAAAGAAGCAACGGCUAACUACGUG